UGCAUAUCAAUAAGCGGAGGAAAAGAAACCAACAGGGAUUGCCUUAGUAGCGGCGAGUGAAGCGGCAAAAGCUCAAAUUUGAAAUCUGGCACCUUCGGUGUCCGAGUUGUAAUUUGAAGAUUGUAACCUUGGGGUUGGCUCUUGUCUAUGUUUCUUGGAACAGGACGUCACAGAGGGUGAGAAUCCCGUGCGAUGAGAUGCCCAAUCCUAUGUAAGGUGCUUUCGAAGAGUCGAGUUGUUUGGGAAUGCAGCUCUAAGUGGGUGGUAAAUUCCAUCUAAAGCUAAAUAUUGGCGAGAGACCGAUAGCGAACAAGUACAGUGAUGGAAAGAUGAAAAGAACUUUGAAAAGAGAGUGAAAAAGUACGUGAAAUUGUUGAAAGGGAAGGGUUUGAGAUCAGACUCGAUAUUUUGUGAGCCUUGCCUUCGUGGCGGGGUGACCCGCAGCUUAUCGGGCCAGCAUCGGUUUGGGCGGUAGGAUAAUGGCGUAGGAAUGUGACUUUGCUUCGGUGAAGUGUUAUAGCCUGCGUUGAUGCUGCCUGCCUAGACCGAGGACUGCGAUUUAUC
rnacentral:rRNA from 1 species